CUGCACUUAUAAGCACAAUUUAAUAAAAUCUUUUUUUUUUCCUCAGUAAAAUUCAAUGUAAUAUUAUUUUUCUCGUAAAUUCAUAAAAAGUAUCAGGGAUCUUUACUUCUCAGGUAUGUAUAAAAUGACCAGAGGAAGCAUAUAAAUGGAUCUCCCCUUAAGGACCCUAAUAUUUUCGCGCGCUGGUGCUGUAGGUAAUGGAAGGAGGAAACGUUAGAGAAGUUAUGGAACGAAUAAUUACGGACCAAAGGCUUUUACAAUCGUUAGCUGAUGCGGUUAACCAAACACAGAGAAGAAAUGUUGACAUUGAGGUGAUGGGUCAGUUUAAUCGAAACACAGGCGAUGAAGCCAGCUGUUCCACCCUGCCCAACACGGGUUGUAGUAACGCUAUAUACAACCUCCGUCGCAAUUUUGGUUGCAAAAGACGAGGAUUGGGACAGGGUUAUAGUUCGAGUUCCGCAUUGAGGAAAAACAGCCGGGAAAGUCCAACGUUUUGUAAAGAACUGGUUCUCCUUCCCGAUAAUACAUUUUCACAUGUCCCAAGACGCGGCAUGAAAGCUAUGCUUUUUGGAAACGGGCACGUGGUUUCAGCACUGGAAUUUAACGUCAGCUGGGAUGAGCAGGCAGUAUUCGAAUCAAUCAAGAACGCAUUCUCUGAAAAACUGAGUUCCUGCAGAAUUGAAAUUCUACUAGGAUGCCAUAAUAAACUCGUGAAACCAUCUUUAACACCUGGGCAAAAACUAAAUGGACACAUGCUUAAAAAGAUCUUUACCCAAAGGUCAAUUUAUGUCCGACCUGACAGGGUUCUUUUAGAACUUGGAGGAAAACGGGUAAGUAUUGGAUUUAUCUAAAUAAAUAGUUAAUCUCACUUUCAACCAAAGAGGUCUUUAGACAUUGAUCAUUAAGCAAUUUGAGGCUUUCAGAAAUUGCAACAUGAUGUUGACCGCAAGCUUUUGGACACUGCUAAGUUUUCUGUGAUGAGAAAAUUGGGACAGGACAGAAUUUUGAAGCUUAUUUUGACCACUGCUAAUUUGGGAUGCUGUGACAGAAAUAUAAUGAUUCUUGGUUGUAAAUCUCCCUCCUAACCUGUGAGGGCGCUAAGCAGCGAGGACUGAGUUCUUUGGACGGGCUGGCCUGACAGUUCUUUCCCCCGGUCAGGAAGUCGGUCAGUCUGGAAGAAAGCGAGACUCUGUUGCAAGAAUGUAUUGACCCGGAAGGUAAACAAUGUAGUAGCCGCAGAUUGUAAAGGCAGCUGCAUUCGUUUACCAAGGGGUAAUGCAUGACAGCACAUAAGGGGGACAGAGACUCGUAAUUGGUUCCUUCGCAUUGGUUUUUAGUGAGUAAAGCACCAGAAGCACGAUACACCAAUUUUAAGUGAAAUUGUGAGUUGCGUUUUUGUUUGUUUGUAAUUGUCUUGUACGUUACCAGACAGUUAACACAGUUCCGGAGCUGUCACCAUGGGCGAGCACGAAACCGGACAACACUGCACCUUUGUCACAAAUAAACCUGUAUCACCCACCACAAGCACUACUGCACACACCCAGGACUGGUGACCGUGUUAGUAUAUUGUGGGACAGAUAUUUGUGUUUAUUAUUUGGGACUGCAACCCUGUUAUAUACUCUGCAUUAUUAUUUGGUCACCACACCUGGAUAAGAAUAAAAACUGUUUGAAACUGGAUUAUAAAUGUGUGUGUGUUUCAUUACAGCACUGCAUCACACCUGCACGUACUACUUACCACUUUGCCACAGAUGCAUAUAACAAAGUUCACAAAUUUGUGAAUAAUCUUACAGUAUAAUGUGUGUUUUUUUACAGGCAGAAAAUUCAGAUGAAGACAUCAUUGAUGUAACUGAAGCUUCUGCUCUGUCUUUCUCAUCUGUUCAGGAAUUAUGUAGAUCUUUUGGAUACUGGAAGUCUUUCAGACGAUUCAGAUUUAAAUGAAGCCAUUUCCCGAUCUCUUGUGGACAUUCAACCUAUGCUGGAAGAAAGCUGUUCUUUGAAAGAAAUACUGAAGCCCCUUGAAAAUUCACUCAGCAGUGAAGUUGUUCGUUACAAUAUUACAAGGAGAAAUGUUUGGGACGGUACUGUCCGAGCCAUGAGCCGACCUAACUUCUCACCAACCAAGCAGAUGGACAUAAAAUUUACUGAUAAUGAAGGAAUUUCUGAAGGUGCAGUAGAUCUCGGUGGUCCAAAACGUGAAUUUUUGCGCCUAGUUCUGGAAUACGUUCGGGAUCACAGCGGAAUGUUUGAAGGACCACAAGGAAAAAAAGUUCUUGCUUGCAGUAUUGCAGCACUUAAGGGCAACAGCUACUUCUAUGCUGGACAGCUGAUGGCUAUGUCAAUCAUUCAUGGAGGUCCACCUCCUCAGUUUUUGUCUCCAGUUCUUACUGAGGCAAUGAUAUGUGGACCUGAUAAAGUAAUUGUAUCUGCAGAGGAUGUGGCAAACGAAGAAAUCCGUUCACAAAUAAUACUAUUUUUCCGAGGGCCUUACGGCACUUGGCAUGCUCAAUGCCUUGAAGAUCUAUCCUGUGCAGCUGAGAUGUCUUUUUGUGGAGAGCAUAGAGAGACUGACUGCUGAACAUUUAGAAAAUCUUUUCAAAGUUCAUCUUUCGGAAGCUGGCAGCAACAAAUAUCAUGGCGAAUGCAUUACGCUUGGUUUUUGGAGAGAUUAUUUGCAGGAUGCUGAAUUGAAAUUAACAACAGUUUCGUUGGAAGAAGUUCUUGUUUUUGUAACUGGAAGUGACAAAAUUCCAGCACUAGGAUUCAGUCCUGCUCCUUCUGUCGAGUUCCUCCAUGACGAAGAUCACAGGUUCCCAAUUGCUAAUACCUGUGAGAACGUAAUUCGACUGCCACUGAAGAGCAAAUAUGAAUAUUUCAAAAAGGACAUGGACUUUGGAAUAAAAAAUUCCCAUGGAUUUGGAAGGCCUUAAAUUAUGUAAAACCCACAGCUGCUGCUUCUGCAGGGUCAUGAGGAGGA